GAGUUUGAUCCUGGCUCAGAAUGAACGUUGGCGGCGUGGAUUAGGCAUGCAAGUCGUGCGGAAAGGCCCCGCAAGGGGUACUCGAGCGGCGUAAGGGAUAGUAAUGCGUGGAUACCUGCCCCUGGGACGGGGAUAGCUGCUGGAAACGGCAAUUAAUACCCGAUGACGUCUCCGGACCAAAGGUGAAAUUCCGCCCGGGGAGGGGUCCGCGUCCUAUUAGCUAGUUGGUGGGGUAAUGGCUCACCAAGGCCACGAUGGGUAGCGGGUGUGAGAGUACGACCCGCAUCACUGGGACUGAGACACUGCCCAGACACCUACGGGUGGCUGCAGUCGAGGAUUUUCGGCAAUGGGCGAAAGCCUGACCGAGCGAUGCCGCGUGCGGGAUGAAGGCCUUCGGGUUGUAAACCGCUUUCGGAGGGGAGGAAGUACAGGGGGGUUCACCCCCUUGUUUGACCUAUCCUCAGAAGAAGGACGGGCUAAGUUCGUGCCAGCAGCCGCGGUAAUAUGAACCGUUUAAAUGUUAUUCGGAAUCACUGGGCUUAAAGGGUGCGUAGGCGGCUCGGGAAGUUGGGUGUGAAAUCCCUCGGCUUAACCGAGGAAUUGCGCCCAAAACUGCCGGGCUUGAG
rnacentral:rRNA from 1 species